rnacentral:rRNA from 1 species
AGACGAAGGGAGCAAGCGUUGUUCGGAAUUACUGGGCAUAAAGCGUCCGCAGGCGGCUUGGGAAGUGAGUUGUGAAAUCCCCCGGCUUAACCGGGGAACUGCAUCUCAAACUCUUAGGCUUGAGGAACAGAGGGGAGAGUGGAACUCUCGGUGGAGCGGUGAAAUGCGUAGAUAUCGAGAGGAACGCCGGUGGCGAAAGCGACUCUCUGGCUGUUUCCUGACGCUGAGGGACGAAAGCUAGGGUAGCGAACGGGAUUAGAUACCCCGGUAGUCCUAGCCGUAAACGAUGGGCACUAGGUAGGGGAGGCUCCCAUACUUUCCCUGCUGAAGCUAAUGUGUUAAGUGCCCCGCCUGGGGAGUACGACCGCAAGGUUAAA